rnacentral:rRNA from 1 species
GACCUCGGAAGGUCAUUA